AUUGAACGCUGGCGGCAGGCCUAACACAUGCAAGUCGAGCGAGCGGCGGACGGGUGAGUAAUGUCUGGGAAACUGCCCGAUGGAGGGGGGUAACUACUGGAAACGGUAGCUAAUACCGCAUACCAUCAGAUGUGCCAAGGUGGGAUUAGCUAGAGGGUAGGGUAACGGCUCACAUAGGCGACGAUCCCUAGCUGGUCUGAGAGGAUGACCAGCCACACUGGAACUGAGACACGGUCCAGACUCCUACGGGAGGCAGCAGUAGGGAAUCUUGCACAAUGGGCGCAAGCCUGAUGCAGCCAUGCCGCGUGUGUGAAGAAGGCCUUCGGGUUGUAAAGCACUUUCAGCGGGGAAGCGUUACCCGCACAAGAAGCACCGGCUAACUCCGUGCCAGCAGCCGCGGUAAUAC
rnacentral:rRNA from 1 species